GAUGAACGCUGGCGGCGUGCUUAACACAUGCAAGUCGAACGGUGAACGAGGGAGCUUGCUCCCUCCGGAUCAGUGGCGAACGGGUGAGUAACACGUGAGCAAUCUGCCCCGAACUCUGGGAUAAGCGCUGGAAACGGCGUCUAAUACCGGAUACGACGCGCGAAGGCAUCUUCUGCGCGUGGAAAGAAUUUCGGUUCGGGAUGAGCUCGCGGCCUAUCAGCUAGUUGGUGAGGUAACGGCUCACCAAGGCGACGACGGGUAGCCGGCCUGAGAGGGUGACCGGCCACACUGGGACUGAGACACGGCCCAGACUCCUACGGGAGGCAGCAGUGGGGAAUAUUGCACAAUGGGCGCAAGCCUGAUGCAGCAACGCCGCGUGAGGGACGACGGCCUUCGGGUUGUAAACCUCUUUUAGUAGGGAAGAAGCGAAAGUGACGGUACCCUGUAAGAAAGGAUCGGCUAACUUCGUGCCAGCCGCCGCGGUAAUAC
rnacentral:rRNA from 1 species